rnacentral:rRNA from 1 species
CCUACGGGUGGCAGCAGUGAGGAAUAUUGGUCAAUGGACGAGAGUCUGAACCAGCCAAGUAGCGUGAAGGAUGACUGCCCUAUGGGUUGUAAACUUCUUUUAUAUGGGAUUAAAAUGUUCCACGUGUGGGAUUUUGUAUGUACCAUAUGAAUAAGGAUCGGCUAACUCCGUCCCAGCAGCCGCGGUAAUACGGAGGAUCCGAGCGUUAUCCGGAUUUAUUGGGUUUAAAGGGAGCGUAGGUGGAUUGUUAAGUCAGUUGUGAAAGUUUGCGGCUCAACCGUAAAAUUGCAGUUGAAACUGGCAGUCUUGAGUACAGUAGAGGUGGGCGGAAUUCGUGGUGUAGCGGUGAAAUGCUUAGAUAUCACGAAGAACUCCGAUUGCGAAGGCAGUUCACUGGACUGCAACUGACACUGAGGCUCGAAAGUGUGGGUAUCAAACAGGAUUAGAUACCCUUGUAGUC